rnacentral:rRNA from 1 species
UACGAAGGGGGCUAGCGUUGCUCGGAAUUACUGGGCGUAAAGCGCACGUAGGCGGCUUUCUAAGUCGGGGGUGAAAUCCUGGAGCUCAACUCCAGAACUGCCUUCGAUACUGGAGAGCUCGAGUCCGGGAGAGGUGAGUGGAACUGCGAGUGUAGAGGUGAAAUUCGUAGAUAUUCGCAAGAACACCAGUGGCGAAGGCGGCUCACUGGAUCGGUACUGACGCUGAGGUGCGAAAGCGUGGGGGAGCAAACAGG